AAUCAACGCUGGCGGCGUGCUUAACACAUGCAAGUCGAGCGGUAAGGCCCUUUCGGGGGUACACGAGCGGCGAACGGGUGAGUAACACGUGGGUGACCUGCCCUCAGCUCUGGGAUAAGCCUGGGAAACCGGGUCUAAUACUGGAUAUGACUCCAUGACGCAUGUUGUGGGGUGGAAAGCCUUGUGCGGCUGAGGAUGGGCCCGCGGCCUAUCAGCUUGUUGGUGGGGUGAUGGCCUACCAAGGCGA
rnacentral:rRNA from 1 species